rnacentral:rRNA from 1 species
AGAGUUUGAUCAUGGCUCAGGAUGAACGCUAGCUACAGGCUUAACACAUGCAAGUCGAGGGGCAGCAUUUUUAGUUUGCUUGCAAACUAAAGAUGGCGACCGGCGCACGGGUGAGUAACACGUAUCCAACCUGCCGAUAACUCGGGGGAUGGCCUUUCGAAAGAAAGAUUAAUAUCCGAUAGUAUAUUAAACCGCAUGGUUUUACUAUUAAAGAAUUUCGGUUAUCGAUGGGGAUGCGUUCCAUUAGUUUGUUGGCGGGGUAACGGCCCACAAGACUACGAUGGAUAGGGGUUCUGAGAGGAAGGUCCCCCANAUUGGAACUGAGACACGGUCCAAACUCUACGGGAGGCA